rnacentral:misc_RNA from 1 species
GAAAGCUAUUAACUCCAAAUGGGUUAACAAAGUUAAAUAUAACUCAGAUGGAACUGUUGAAAGGUUCAAAGCUAGAUUAGGGGCCAAGGGGUACGACCAAUUGCCAGGGUUGGAUUAUAAAACAAGUUUUUCCCCUGUUGCAAAAACAAUAAUUGUGAGAAUGUUUUUGGCAAUAGCAGCUACUAAAUCUUGGCCAAUUCAGCAAGUGGACAUAAAUAAUGCUUACUUACAUGGCCACAUUGAUGAAGAUCUUUACAUGAAGCCUCCAGAAGGGUAUACAAAAGCUACAGAUGGUCAAAUAUGUAAAUUAAUUAAGUCCCCAUAUCGACUAAAGCAGGCUGGACGCCAGUGGAACAAAGAGUCGACUGUUAAGCUGCAUGAAUAUGGUUUUAUCCAAUCUGUGCAUGACAAUUGUCUUUUCACAAUAGGGUCUGGUGAUCAAUUUCUUGCUUUGUUAGUAUAUGUUGAUGAUUUGCUCAUCACAGGAGCUUCCGAAGCACACAUUAUUAAAGUCAAAACAUUCCUUCAUGCAGCAUUUACUAUAAAAGACCUCAGCUAUGCAAAAUAUUUUCUUGGCAUUGAAUUAGCCAGGUC